CUUGAGGAGACCGUUCUGUCCCAGGAAGAGCACCAGACCGAGGUGCCACAGAUUCCCAAGGUAGAGCUUCCAUCGUUCCCGGAAGUACACCUUCCACCUAAGCCUGAGCUUCCCAAAGUGGAGUUGCCGCCGGUCCCAGAGGUGCACCUGCCAUCUAAGCCUGAGCUUCCCAAGGUGGAGCUGCCACCGGUCCCUGAGGUGCACCUGCCACCCAAGCCUGAGCUGCCCAAGGUGGAGCUGCCGAUGUUUCCGGAGGUUCACUUGCCACCCAAGCCGGAGAUGCCCAAGGUGGAGCUCCCGCCGAAGCCCGAGAUGCCAAAGGUGGAGCUUCCACCAAAGCCCGAGAUGCCCACUGUUCCCGUGUUCCACUUCCCAAAGCCAGAGGCCAAGCCAUGAGAAUUGCCUUCUCAAUAUUAUCGCCUCGUUCUACUUCGCUCGUACAUGUACCCUAGUGUUGUGUUGCGUCAACGGUCUGAUUGUUUAGUCAUGGUCGACGAUCACUGUGAGUGAUAUGUUUAUAUAAAUAUAUAUUUGAUCGAAAUAUGUAUCUGGCAACCAUGUGGCAGAUUGCAAAACGAUCUACCGCAUCCAGCCCCGUCAGAUCUGGCAACCGCUCGAUCUGCAUCUCCUCCGUUCGCGACUCCUAUGCCCGAGCGCCCAGGCAUGGCGCCGCGAGCACACAUUGACCGGCCAUCAGCAGCUUCGAUCGAACCACCUAUUCCCUUGCACCCCUCGAGCAGCAGCGCCUCCUCAAGUCGCCGCCAUACCCUGCUGCUCCAGCGAGCAGCUCCUUCCAUGGCCAACACUCGCUAGUGCAGGAGCUCCAUCACCAUCUCCACGGGAUUCCUGCCUCCCCUGCAGCCCAUCGACGACCAUGUCUUGCACACGUCUCGGCCAUAGCAGCCUCUGCUGCCCGCUGUUCUGCUGGCCGAGCUUCUAGCCACGGCCAUAGGCUCCGGCGAGCGCCGACUUCAAGAAUAGGACACUUGCAUCGAUCUCCUUCAUCUUUGAACAAUAAGUUGCGUGCACAACUAAAAUGGAUUCGCAAUGAAGAGAUCUACGAAUUUCAUGUUGAAGUCCACGCGAUUUGUAGCCUAAAUCAACAAGUAUGAUGGAUAAUUGGGAGUUCUUUGUGUCUGUGUUUUCAGUGUUCAGUUUUCAAUACGGGUUUGGUUGGUUGGAGGAUGAAGACAACAUUCUCGGUCAGCUUCAGAGAGAGAAAAGAGUUGGGUUGAGCCCAAUGCUGGGUAGAGGCCUAGUUAGGAAAACUUAAUGUUGGCUAAAGAAAACAUGUUCUGUGGGUUUUUUAGCUUCACUGGUGCAUCAUUUGUACUACAUUUUAAGACCUAACGACUUACAUAUAAAUAUUAUGCUAACUCCGCGAGCGGCAGGCAGCCACCGGACAAGGAUGCCGCAACCCUUCGGCAUCCUUGCGACGCUAGAGGGACGACAACGACGACGGCAGGUGGUCGUUCCGUAUAGGGUUUAGUUUUUUAAAUACUAAUUUUUAGUAAAAUGAUCGAAAAAUCAUCCAUUUAUGUAAAUUAUAUCUGAACUUGAAUGAAAUCCGCCCAACUUGCACGAAUUUCGUCUGAUUAGUUUGAACAGUUGUUGAAAUGUAUGUGGGCAGUGUUGGAUGGCGGCCUCCGACAUCAGUGUCCACGGACAGAUGCCGGAGCAAUAAAAAUUUGACCGGAAAUGCCGAAGCAAAUUUGCGGGUCAUCAUUGAAGACGCCCUUAUCUCUCAAAACUCUGAAAAACCAACAUAUUAUAACAAUGUUGUGAUUCAUAUUCCGAGUUAAUUGUUAGCCUGUUAAACUCGAGGCUGGUUUUGCUUCGGCAAAAAAUGUUUAUUGACUUUUGCAUUGCUUGUUUUGUGGAACCCUUGGACAACGUUUCGUCUUCACAGCUGACCUAACAUUGUUGAUGUUUUGAACGGUCGUACCUGCCCUGAACGCAGCUUCACUGCGUCCACAACUGCAGCCCAAAGAACCAGAGUGCUGCCGCUCCCAAACCUUGAACAAAUAUAGACUCAGAAACACAUACAUUGGACAGAAGUGCACACAAGUAGAUGAACAAACUUGUUGCAAAAUCUGUACUCUCUCCCCUCGCCGACUUUUGCACCCUAUAAGUAGCCAGCAGCCCCAGCUAUCUCUCCCACACUCAAACUACACUGCCAGAGAUAGCCGGUGUUGCACAUGUCUAACACUAUGGCUCCGAAAAACUCAGCUAUCUUCCUCCUUGGGCUUCUUCUCUCAUGCGUGGCCAUGAGUAGUGCGGCGAGAAUCCUUGAGGAGACCGUUCCGUCCCAGGAAGAGCACCAGACCGAGGUGCCACAGAUUCCCAAGGUAGAGCUUCCACCGUUCACGAAAGUACACCUUCCACCUAAGCCUGAGCUUCCCAAAGUGGAGCUGCCGCCGGUCCUGGAGGUGCACCUGCCAUCUAAGCCUGAGCUUCCAAGGUGGAGCUGCCACCGGUCCCUGAGGUGCACUUGCCACCCAAGCCUGAGCUGCCCAAGGUGGAGUUGCCG
rnacentral:lncRNA from 1 species